rnacentral:rRNA from 1 species
UACGAAGGGGGCGAGCGUUGUUCGGAUUUACUGGGCGUAAAGGGCGCGCAGGCGGUCUUGAAAGUCAGGCGUGAAAGCCCCGGGCUUAACCUGGGAAUUGCGCUUGAUACUCUGAGACUGGAGUACGGGAGAGGAGGGUGGAAUUCCCAGUGUAGAGGUGAAAUUCGUAGAUAUUGGGAAGAACACCAGUGGCGAAGGCGGCUCUCUGGACCGUAACUGACGCUGAGGCGCGAAAGCGUGGGGAGCAAACAGG